UGCGUGAUUGUGUAAAGGUAGCACUACUGACUCUGGAUCAGUCUGUCUGGGUUCGAAUCCUAGUCACGCAGCCA
rnacentral:tRNA from 1 species